AUGAUUGUUACUUUAUGGGCGAUUUGGAGUGCAAGACGGAAAGCUAUACAUGAGGAUAUAUACCAGACUCCGUUUGCCACUGACAACUUCAUCAAAGCUUACUUAUCAGACAUAGAGUUUUUGAAGAAGAAGAAGGAGGAAGCACAUGGGAUAACAGUACCACGACCCCGUACGUGGAUUCCACCACCAACAGAUUACUACAAACUCAAUGUGGACGCGGCCGUGUCACGUCCAGGUACGUUUGGCGCAGUUGGUGUGGUUUGCAGGGAUGAGAGAAGUUUGUUCAUGGGAGCGUCAGCUCUCGUUUUCAGAGGACUGCACAACCCCCAAGUGCUAGAAGCACUAGCUGUUCGGGAGGCAUUAGCACUUUCAGAAGAUCUCUAUAUCAACCAUUUACUUGUUGCCUCCGAUUGCAAGGUGGUGGUAGAUGCAAUCAGACAGGGAGGCUCAGCAGAAUUUGGAGCCAUUGUCGAGGAAAUCAAGACUAGAGCAACUACCUUUAUUUCAUGUUCGUUUACUCACGAGUAUAGGACCUCCAAUACGGAGGCCCAUAAUCUCGCAAAGCAUGCGUUAUCUUUAGGGUUUGGCCGACACACUUGGCUAGGACAACCCGGCGAUCUUCUUUUUGUACCUAUGAACAUUAUGAUUCAGUAA
rnacentral:rRNA from 1 species